ACACAAUACAAAUAUUAAAGCCAAAAAAUAUAUACAUAAUGCAGUAGGCUUCAAUUAACAAAAUCAAUUGGGAACAAACAUAUGUUUACAUUGCUAAGAGUGGUUGCUAAGACAGACGCAGCAACAUACACACUCAGUGGCGCAGCGUUACUUAUGUAAUGCGGUCAGCUGUAUGUUUUCGGGAAUUUUACAACGGCUUUGAACGCGACUCAACCAAUCAGAAUCAAGGGCCGGUAUUAUAAACUAUAUUAAGGCAAUUCUAACAUGGCUUUCUAUGCGUUUGUCGUGUGUACUAAAGUCUGUCAAUCAUCAUUAGCGCGCCACCCUGCAAGGACAUUAUAAUUCUGCCAAAAGUGUGUCUGUGUGUUCGAUUACAAUAUAAAGCUUGGUUAUCAAACUAGCACUAAGACCCAGAAUCUGCCCUACCUAAAUUUAUUACUAGGAGCUGCUACUGAUAAACACAGUCAUUAUGUUAAGACUGAGUCGAGGUAAGGUAUCAGUCUUACUUUAUGGAUUGGAAUUAGCCCAGUCUACUUGUUUAAGCAACUUGCUUUAAAAACAACUGUAACCAGUGUCAAAGGGAAAAAAGACUUGUAAGACUAGUCUAAGCAGUUUAUGCAACUGGCCAGGACAUAUUUUCGUGUGAGUUAAAUUCAGUCCCAUGUGAGCUCAUUAACAGGUUGAUCAGAUUUAUUGAUUCAGCAUGGAAGGUGCAAACCUGUUUCCUUGUUGUUACGCACAUGCCUAGUAAAUUGCUGAUCGUAUUACGUAGCUUCAUAUGCUGUAAAAUAAAACUAAUCUGCAGUGCUUAUUGCUGACAUAAUACAAAAACCACGAAUUAAGAAUUCAUUCCCACACUCAAAAAAUGAUUCUUGCCACUAAUUGAAAUUAAGCAAACAAUUCAAAUAAAAUGUAUUUAAAAACGUAUAAAAUAACUAUUAUUAUUCCAAAUUACUUUUAUACAACAUGAAUGAAAUGGAUUCAAGACCAACCUGAUCAAAUUACAUAAACUAUACUUAAUUCAUUGCCAUAAGGCACAAAUGCAAGUGUUGCGCAUGCUCAUUGGAGUCUGGAGUCAAAUAACAACAACUGAAGGCGGCAAUCUGGCAACGGUGAUCUACUGUCUGACUCAGCGAAAAGGAGGAUUUGGAUGCAUAGAUGUGGAUGUUUUCAAGAAACCUCAUAAUUUUGGGACAAUAACUCAAUUACGAUUUGUGGCAACGUAAAGUGUGUGGAAGAAGUAUCGCUGAAGUAUCCGGUAUGUUUAAGUAAUUGAAACAUUCUUAAACAUUGACAUUUUGAGGAGAGAUUCAGGCAACCUGUUCACAGUAAAUGAAGUAAAAGCAGAAUUUAUGUGGAUAAAGACUGUGCCACUUCUGUCACCGUUCAUAGCAGCUGGACAGAUGCAAGUGCGAAGACAUACACAUCAAACGAGACUGUGUCAUAAAGAGUCUGUGUGUGUAUCUCAAUGGGGACAUUACAACACUUGUCAAAAAAUUCCAGGACUGCAAUCCUGAAGGAGACCACUCUGGGCCUUUUUGUGACCCUUAAAGUGCUGAGUACUAGCCAGACGAUGUUGGAGUAGCAACAGAGGGUGUAAAACUGCUACAACACUUAAGAGUUUUUCCUUUGGAUUAAUAAUGCUGUUCAGAUUGAUCUACUCACUCAAGUUACACUCAGAGUCUCAAAUUCACAUUUGAAUUCUUCCAGAAGGUAAUGAUGAAUUUGGACUUUAGGACAUCACACAGAUGUUUCCAUCCCCUGGAAGGACAUUGAAAACUUUUAAACUUGUUCCGUAAUGUUGAUUUGAAGACAGUACGAUAGAUGACACUAUGAACAGAUGACACUAACUCAAAUCAAGAGACUGCACCUAAUGCACCUUCUGGCUUCCUCUCUGAUACAUUAAAUUUUUUGUUCACCAAAACAUGAACAUUCUGUCAUUUA